AGGAAUGGUAGUGGGGAGAACGGGUCUGCACAGAUGGCGGUCCAAACCCGGUCCAAACAUGACCUCGCGGAUACAAUCCUUUCUUCUUCACAUCGAGCUACAACAGAGGAAACGAGUAAAAUCCUACGGCACGUCACUCUGUUCUUUACAUCGUCGUGCCGUCAUCAUCAUCGCCGUAUCCACUUCGUUUGUGUGAUUUUGUCUGUGUUUGGACGUGUAGCGAUUUGUAGGCUCCUGGCUUGGAAGAUUCCAUGGGAUGGCUCGUAUCGCCCGCCUAUAAACGAUGUUGAAGAUAGACCAGAUCGAGUUUCUGAUGGCGGUUUGGUGAGAAUUGGCGUCCUCGCUGAACACGAAUCUGAUAAUGGCGAUCUUUGAUUUCUCCUAAGAAGUUCAGGUCGAAACUCAAGGCGUAUGAACUCGGAGCAACUCUGGGGUUCAGGAGCUUUGGCUGCAGGAUGGCAAAACCAAAUGCAGAGUUCAACUCUCGUUAUAGAAUCCAGUGGAAUUCAUUUGCGGGAUCGAAUUACAGAGUUGAGAUGUAAGUAACGGACUUAAGGCCAAGAAACUUCAACGGAUAUCAAGAACAACGUGGGAACGAGGCUAGCAAUUUGCAUCAAGUAAUGGAAUGAAAUCAUGACACCAAGAAUAUGAGUUACGAUAAACUGAAGCAAGUUACCAGAAUGAAGCGACACGGAGGUUCCGGUGUCGUCGAUGUCGUUCACAGGCGUUGCAUGAUAUGCUGCGUUCGUCGCGUGUGAAGUUCGGUGCUCGAUGAUGUUAAUCCUAUGUUCCAUAUGGCAUGAGAAUGCUCUGACUUUGAUGGAUCAACCGCACCUCCUGAGUGCUUAAUAUUCUGGAAGAUAUAAGUAAUGACAGUUGAAACUUCUUCCUCAUAUGGUCUAUAUGCAAUGGCGACACAACAUGGACUAACAUAAGAAGGUUAACAUUUUAUAUGCGAGUUAUGGUUGCCGGGUCUGGAAUUCACGCGCUGAAAUUGGCAUUGAACUGCUUGAUGGCUGCAGGUUAUAGCUGUGAACUGGUGUCUCGGUUGCGUUUGUUGCAGGACUGUCUCGACUCUGGCCUUCCCCACUAGAAGUAGAUGGUGACUGGCUUUAUUUUGUCAUUAUGGUUAUGAAUAUGUGUAGUUAUGUGGUAGCUAAGGAAUGAAUGAUUAGAUGCGGCUAUAUGAAUGUUAGCUUCUGCGAUGAUGAAUCGAUUUCGUGUUAAAUCAAAAUGUUGGUGAACAAACUAUUGGAAUGAACCGCUAGUUCUCUAUCCAACUGGUUUGUAAGAUGUUUGCAGGUGAUAUACGACACGAAUUGUUGGGAAAGCAAAGUCGUUGGUAUGCAUCUGGCGCAUUGCAGGAUGUUACAGGUUGCUGCUGUCAUGAAACUUACCAUGGAACCGAUUUUAUUAUGCAGGUCGUGGAUUCCGAGUCUUCAAAGCAAAGCAAAAUGGCUUGGCGCGUUGCGAACUCCAUACCAGCUGUUGUUGGAUUCGUACCGUGGUCUGCAAAGAGACAUAAUUAUGAUUGAAUUGCACUGUAACUUGUAUUGUUUGAAAUGUAUUCUAACAACCACGUAACACUUUGCUUCAAAAUGGAAGGCUCUUUGCAAUUAA